ensembl:lncRNA
CACACCCUCUGCUCACCUGGUCAUUCGCUGGUCCACUUCUGAGGCAUCCAGACGUGUGCUGCUGAUGGGAGACAAGGACACAAUGAAAGGGGCUGCAAGGGGCAGAAGGCCUGGCCAGCAGAAACAAGGUGUCUCCCACAGGGAAAAUGGGAGGAUUUCCUCCAAGGAAAACCUGUCUGUAAAAGAGAAGGGAGGAGAUCGACAUCCCUCAGAAAGACAGAGAGAAAAACGAAGCAUGGAGACACAAGAGGGCUCUCAGGGCAAAGCAGAGGUCACCAGGCACAAGCGAUGCAGAAGCCGGGAUGGCUCCCCUGAGAGUCACAAGAGAAACAGCCAUGGAGAAGAGAAGGUGAGGGGAAGACCACCCCCAGCCCAGUGGAGAUCUAAGGAGCAUCCAAACUCCUGCAGAGCAGGACUUUACUACAGAGCAGGUUCUGCCCAUACUUCCGGGCGUCUCCACGACAGGGGGGCCCGGUUCCGAUCGCCAAUGUGGACCCGGGGCCAGAGACACUGCCAGUACAACCCGGAGUCCAGGCCCCCCUCGCCCAAGCGCCCUCGCAGAAGCCAGUCACCUGAAGCCGCCGCGCCCCUGGAGGAGCUCACGUCCAAGCUCUGCAACCAGAUGGGAGCCCUUGAAGUGGUCCUGGAUGAGUUGCGGGCCCCGGGGGGCGCCUUCCUACCGGUGCCCACCGACCGCACGGAGCCCACGGCCUCGCAGCGCGCCUGGCUCACCUGGCAGCUGACGCACGCGGGCGCCGCCCUGCACUGGGCGCUGACGGCGCUGGAUUCCCUGCUCGCCGCGCACCACCGACCUCCGGGCCCGCAGGUCUACCCGCCCUGGGCGCCUGGGUCUUAGGGGCGCUCCCCGCCAUUCCUCAAGCAGUGCAAGGCUCCUGGGAGGCAUUUUGUACCCCGAGGCGACGAGUUUUCCCUGCAGAAGACAGAAAUCCUCCUGUCUCGGGAAAGGUGCUCAGCGAACGGAUUUCAGCUCCUGCUGCAUCCCCAGCUCAGGGAGAUGUGUCACCGUGUCCAGAAGUCAGUCUGCAGGAUGUGCAUUUAGAAGACAACACUCUUUAAUCCCGCUGUUCAGACUGCAUCCCCUAGUGAUGUGAUUUGUGCCUUUUCAUCCCUCCAUAUUAUCCUGUUCUAUUGAAAAAAUGAAAUGAGAGAGAGAGAGGAACACAGAGAGGGAAAGGAGGACGUAGAGGAGGAAGAAGACUUACAGGCAGCUAGAUGUCAGAUUGAGGUAGAGAUUGAUGUAGAGAUAGAUGUGAAGAUUGGUGUAGAGAUAGAUGUAGAGAUUGAUGUAGAGGUAGAUGUUGAGAUUGAUGUAGAGGUAGAUGUCGAGAUUGAUGUAGAGAUAGAGGUAGAAAUAGGUAGAUUCCUAGGGGUGGGUUCCACUGCAAAGAACAAUUGUUUUUUUGGGGGGGGGUUUUACCAGAGAUUGGGUUUCUUCAAGGUUAUGCUUAGAAAUCUACCUUGAACAACUCUGUAUCAAAUGAACUAUCUGGGUUAUACGAUGAACUUUGUAGAUUUUUGGUGUUGAUAUUAAAAUUCCAUUUUUACUUAUGG